rnacentral:rRNA from 1 species
GGUCCGGCCGGGAACUCAAAGGAGACUGCCAGUGAUAAACUGGAGGAAGGUGGGGAUGACGUCAAGUCAUCAUGGCCCUUACGACCAGGGCUACACACGUGCUACAAUGGCGCAUACAAAGAGAAGCGACCUCGCGAGAGCAAGCGGACCUCAUAAAGUGCGUCGUAGUCCGGAUUGGAGUCUGCAACUCGACUCCAUGAAGUCGGAAUCGCUAGUAAUCGUGGAUCAGAAUGCCACGGUGAAUACGUUCCCGGGCCUUGUACACACCGCCCGUCACACCAUGGGAGUGGGUUGCAAAAGAAGUAGGUAGCUUAACCUUCGGGAGGGCGCUUACCACUUUGUGAUUCAUGACUGGGGUGAAGUCGUAACAAGGUAACCGUAGGGGAACCUGCGGUUGGAUCACCUCCUUACCUGAAAGAA